GGUUUCCGACACAUUCCACCGCGAGAGGCGCUUCAAGAAAAGUUUAGCUCUAUCGGAACCUAAUGGAAACUAUUGGAUGUUCCAUCAAAUUCCAACAGAUGGUGACUCCAUAGUGCAAACAAGUUUACCGUGGCUAUCCAUAAUUAGGAUUAGAAUGAAUUUUAUGAAAUUUGUUCCUGAUUGAACAUUGAGUAGAAAUUUUAAAACGCCAUUUAGCGCAUUGUUCUUAAUUCUCAAUGUUUUUUUUGUAAAACAAAUUACAUGCAACUAUUUUUGGUAAAAAUUAGUAUUAAAAACAAUUAAAUUAUUCAAUUUGAGCUCGAAUAGUACAGUACUAGGUGCAGUACGGUAAAACUGCUGCAGCAACAUUUUGACAGUUCGUUUUUGUUUGGGCCAAUCAGCGUUGAGAUCGCAGCAACAGCAGCCAAACAAAAUGUAAAUAAUGUAGUCAAAUUGGAGAAAAAAAACUAUCGCGGUUUCCAGUGGGAGAUUAUUUUGUCGAAACGGAUGCGGAGUGGGAUACAGCGAUACGCCUGAGACAUGCUGCAAGAUACGAAACAUAUGCACUCGCCUGCGCAAGAAUCGAACAGCUAUCAAAAUUCUAGCGAAUCGAAGGACGGAGAGGACACUUCAAGGAUGGAAGAAGUAUCGAACGACAAUUAUCUUGAAGAUAGGUAUGCAGGCUUUUCGAGGAGGAGAAAUCUAAGAGCGAUCAGCUCUGGAAGAAAAUCGGUCGGUUCCGCAAGAGAUCGUCGCGCGAAGGAACAGCAUCAAGCGCGAGGAUCGUGAAAGCAAGACAUCACAACAACACCCUGUAAGAGAAGCUGAAGCGGCGGCGUAACGAUUGCAGAGUGACAUGAAUGCUGUAUCCAAACACAGCAAUUUCCUGGAGCAAUCUAAGAUCAACGCGAGCUAAUGAAUUUUCUGAUGGAAGCAUUCCAGUUUCGUGCAACAAAACGCUGGUCUAAAAUAAUAGCCAUUGGAGCGGUUAAGGUGAUACCCAGUUCACUGGCAUAAGUGCUGCUCCGAUUCGGACAUCUUAUCUAAUAUCAUAUCUGCUAUUUCUAUAAAUAAAAAUGAAAUCGUAAAAUGAA